AUUGAACGCUGGCGGCAUGCCUUACACAUGCAAGUCGAACGGCAGCACGGGAGCUUGCUCCUGGUGGCGAGUGGCGAACGGGUGAGUAAUACAUCGGAACGUACCCAGUAGUGGGGGAUAACGCACCGAAAGGUGCGCUAAUACCGCAUACGACCUACGGGUGAAAGCGGGGGACCGUAAGGCCUCGCGCUAUUGGAGCGGCCGAUGUCUGAUUAGCUAGUUGGCGGGGUAAAAGCCCACCAAGGCGACGAUCAGUAGCUGGUCUGAGAGGACGAUCAGCCACACUGGGACUGAGACACGGCCCAGACUCCUACGGGAGGCAGCAGUGGGGAAUUUUGGACAAUGGGGGCAACCCUGAUCCAGCAAUGCCGCGUGUGCGAAGAAGGCCUUCGGGUUGUAAAGCACUUUUGUCAGGGAAGAAAUCUUUCAGGCUAAUACCCGGGGCUAAUGACGGUACCGUAAGAAUAAGCACCGGCUAACUACGUGCCAGCAGCCGCCGUAA
rnacentral:rRNA from 1 species